GGUUUUGCUCUCCUCCUUAACCUGCGGUGGUUUCCUGAUUUCUCGUGGAUUAACCACGUUCUCCCUCUUUAUUUUUUCUCCAUAAUCUCAGUCUCCUUCUCUCUUCAUAAAGAUCGCUCCUUUAAUUGCAUAAUAUACCCUGAGAAAACACGCAGGAGAUAUUGGCAAUAACCCUAACCCUUCCCUAUAAAUUGCAAAAUCUCAAUGCGGGCUAAUCUCUUUCAUGCAAUUGCUGAUUGGAUUUGAAUCUCAUCUUCGUUCUUAACUUCAGGUAAUUACGUUGUAAAUAUGUUGCAUACUUAAUUAAAGGAUUUGAAAUGUCAAUUUUGGGUUUUUUAUGAUGUGCAUAUAUUCACUUGUGAACUGUGUGUUAGUUAUUAUUUCAAUUGUUGAUUACAAGAUUGAUCAUGUUCAUAUACUAACGAUAAUGUGUUACAGGUUGCACAAUCAGUAACGUUUGUUUUCCUUUUUAUCUGAGUUUAGUUUUCGGUUUUCGACCAACACUCACCGCCCCGUCGGGGAUCCCAGCAUUUAUUUGAAUACUCGAUCAGUGGGAAAAAGGCAAAUCCGUUAUAUUCAGUCAGCUCACUCCGAUAAUCAAAAGCCUCCGAUAAUCAACACCAUGCCAUUAUAUUCGAAUAGCUUUUCGUCUUUUAAUGAUUGUUUAGUGUUUGUGUUUGUUUUGUGAAUCAUAUGAUUUGUAGACUUUUGGUAUGCUUACACACUAAUUUAAUUGUUGCGGGGAGGAAAUAAAGGGUGUCUUGUGUGCAAGAAAAAGAUGGCAACUUCUCCCAAAACACUUUCUGGAUUCUGCCCUGCCCCAUUUAGAAAUCUUUUGGAAUAUGUUGUUAAUUUGACUUUUGGUAUGCCUACGUAUGCAAAAAUUUCCAUUUGAUCGGCUGAAAGUUCUAAUCGUGUGACGAGGAGCCUAAUCAUUUAGGUUUCGUCGAAUGCUGAAUGAUCACACAUUCUUUGGUACCCACAAAGUUUAUUACCUCCUAAAGUCAUAAUUGCAUUAACUUUAUCUUCAAAAGGGGAAGGUCAAACUGAUUUCUUGACCAAACGUCAACUGACAUGGAAGACUUCAUUUUGUAGCCUUAAUUUCAUGUUAAAGAAGAACAUUUGUUACCUAUUUUAUGGUUCAUGAAGAGAACUCACAUCAUAGUACUUUGGCUGUUUGUUUGAAGCCGUGAAAAUGAAGCCCUUUAAUGGAAGGUAGAUGUCGAGACCAAUGAGGUUAAUACUCAAAUGACGUUGCCACUAUGGAGCUUGGACCACCCGAUUAGCAUGGAGCAGCUAGAGUUAUUUUCCGGGUCAACACUCAACCCAUUAAAAGAGAAGUCUCAGCUUAUGUUGGGUUAGAGGGGAAGGAAGUUAUGAGCAACAGUUAUCUCUAUUUUCCAGUUUACUAUUUAGACUAGACUAUCGUUGUUUUGUUCUUUGUCUUUGAAAAACUCAGUAUUUAUUUCUUGUAUUUGGAGAUUAGCCCAUCUCAAAUAGGCCUAUUAUCAGUUGUUUUAAUUUUAAUCAAGCCGAUUUCAAGUU
rnacentral:lncRNA from 1 species